UGGCGCACGGGUGCGUAACGCGUGGGAAUCUGCCCUUGGUACGGAAUAACAGUUAGAAAUGACUGCUAAUACCGUAUAAUGACUUCGGUCCAAAGAUUUAUCGCCCAGGGAUGAGCCCGCGUAGGAUUAGCUAGUUGGUGAGGUAAAGGCUCACCAAGGCGACGAUCCUUAGCUGGUCUGAGAGGAUGAUCAGCCACACUGGGACUGAGACACGGCCCAG
rnacentral:rRNA from 1 species